AGGGAGCUAGUCUAAAAAAGACCUCUGAUUUCGGCUCAGAAAAUUGUGGUUUAAGUCCACGGCCCCCUU
rnacentral:tRNA from 3 species